rnacentral:rRNA from 1 species
CCCUUAGAUGUCCUGGGCCGCACGCGCGCUACACUGAGUGUCUGAGAUACGAGUCUGCCUGGUCCGGCAAGGUCUAGGUAAUCGCUAAAAGACACAUCAUGCUUGGGAUAGAUUAUUGCAAAUAUUAAUCUUGAACGUGGAAUUCCUAGUAAGCGCAAGUCAACAGCUUGCGUUGAUUACGUCCCUGCCCUUUGUACACACCGCCCGUCGCUACUACUGAUUGGAUGUUUAAGCGAGGUUCUCGAACUGCUAGCGACUUAGCUUCGGUGAGGUCGCAGUGUGGGAAGUGAACCUAGCUUUGGUGUCUAGAGGAAGUAAAAGUCGUAACA